UGGGGAAUAUUGGACAAUGGGCGAAAGCCUGAUCCAGCAAUGCCGCGUGAGUGAAGAAGGUCUUCGGAUUGUAAAGCUCUUUCGACGGGGACGAUGAUGACGGUACCCGUAGAAGAAGCCCCGGCUAACUUCGUGCCAGCAGCCGCGGUAAUACGAAGGGGGCUAGCGUUGCUCGGAAUGACUGGGCGUAAAGGGCGCGUAGGCGGUUUGUACAGUCAGAUGUGAAAUUCCUGGGCUCAACCUGGGGGCUGCAUUUGAUACGUAUGGACUGGAGUGAGGAAGAGGGUCGUGGAAUUCCCAGUGUAGAGGUGAAAUUCGUAGAUAUUGGGAAGAACACCGGUGGCGAAGGCGGCGACCUGGUCCUUUACUGACGCUGAGGCGCGAAAGCGUGGGGAGCAAACAGGAUUAGAUACCCCCGUAGUCC
rnacentral:rRNA from 1 species